rnacentral:rRNA from 1 species
GUUUACGGCCAUAUCACUUUGGAAACACCAGUUCUCUUCCGAUCACCGAAGUUAAGCAAAGGCGAGCCUAGUUAGUACUUAGAUGGGUGACCGCUUGGGAAACCUAGGUGCUGUAAAGA